rnacentral:pre_miRNA from 1 species
CGUGCUUGUGUGCCUGGCUCCCUGUAUGCCACUCAUGUAGCCCAACCCGCGGCGUGAUUGGAUGCUGUGGGUGGCGUGCAAGGAGCCAAGCAUGCGUACAUACA